GGCCUGGUGGUCUAGUAGUAUGAUUCCUUGUUAGGGCUUGAUUAGCUGUUUCGAGGAGGUCCUGGGUUCAAUUCCCAGCCAGGCCC
rnacentral:tRNA from 1 species